rnacentral:rRNA from 1 species
GAGCGGUAUUGUUUCUUCGGAAACGGGAGAGCGGCGCACGGGUGCGGAACACGUGUGCAACCUGCCUUUAUCUGGGGGAUAGCCUUUCGAAAGGAAGAUUAAUACCCCAUAAUACUUUGAAUGGCAUCAUUUAAAAUUGAAAACUCCGGUGGAUAGAGAUGGGCACGCGCAAGAUUAGAUAGUUGGUAGGGUAACGGCCUACCAAGUCAGUGAUCUUUAGGGGGCCUGAGAGGGUGAUCCCCCACACUGGUACUGAGACACGGACCAGACUCCUACGGGAGGCAGCAGUGAGGAAUAUUGGACAAUGGGUGAGAGCCUGAUCCAGCCAUCCCGCGUGAAGGACGACGGCCCUAUGGGUUGUAAACUUCUUUUGUACAGGGAUAAACCUUUCCACGUGUGGAAAGCUGAAGGUACUGUACGAAUAAGCACCGGCUAACUCCGUG